AGCUCCAAGAGCGAAAAUAAAAGCUGUUGCAGUUAAAAAGCUCGUAGUCGAAACUUGGCCAUGUGCGCGGUUGCCCAUCGGCUGAUGUGUGCGAUCGUGCCAUGACCUUGCUUCACGCUGUGGUCCUUGGCCAUUAGGUUGGUCAGGGGAGCCGCGCGUGAUCAUUUACUUUGAGAAAAGGAUGGUGCUCAAGACAGGCGUUUUGCCGUUGUGUUUUUCAGCAUGGGAUAAUAGAAUAGGACUUUCGUCUUAUUUUGUUGGUUUUCGAGACGAAGGUAAUGAUUAAUAGGGACAGUUGGGGUGGUCAGUAUUAUUCAGUCAGAGGUGAAAUUCUUGGAUUUGAGUAAGACUAACUGCUGCGAAAGCGUUCCACAAGGAUGUUUUCAUUG
rnacentral:rRNA from 1 species